CCUACCAAUUAUAAAAUCUCCAAUCUCCCAGAAUAAUGACUUGAUGCACUUGCCUAUGAUGCAAACUUUUAAUCAACAAAUCUUACUUUGAUAUAAAGAGAGAGAAAAAUGCCCCUGCGGAGAACUGUUCGAACCUGUUGGAAGUGACGGAGAAGAGGAAGGAGAGGGGAAAAACUGUCGCUGCCACUGGAAACCUCCUUCGACGGUGGCGCAUGGCGACACACAGUGGCCACCGACUAUGGUGCCGCGGUGGCGGGGAGAGGUUGUGGAGGUCAGUGGAGUUGGGUAAAAAUAAUAUAUAUUUUUUUAGUGAGGAAAAAUAAUCCUAUACAGAGAGUGUAUUGUAUAAAGGUAUAGACUAGAUGAAUCUUAUGAUAUUUAAAAGUGGUGCAUCAUGAACCACUUGUGGUAGUAGUCCAUCUUAGGCUCCGUCCAAGUUGUAAUAUGCAUGCAACUUAUUCUUCAAUCUCUAAAAUUAAAUUAAUUUCAAGA